UCUCUCACUGACUGAUGGAUUGUUUCUGCCAACAAAGAACACCAUACUUACUCACCAUGUAAAUGGCAACAACUAAGGAUCAACAUUCUUCAGAUAUGAACAAUAUUGUUGUUUUGAUAUGCGUUCAGAGAGAAGAAGCAAGAGGAAAUUUGCUGAAUGCCUGACAGAAUCAUCUGAGUAAUGCUCCAUGAGCCUCUACAUGACAGAGUCAGCUCUAGUGGGUCCACAAAGAGCUAUUCAAAGACGCAGCCCCCAGAGGAAACUUUGGGGAAAAUUAUAUGUCCUAUGUGAAUAGAAUUUCAUAUAUCUCACAUGAAACUUUGUGCCACAUCAAAUUAGGCUUCUUUAGAGGAAGGGAAAGUACUUCCUAGAACAUAUUUUCUCCGGUUGAAGAUAUUCAGAUCCUAUAUCCUAGUAACCAAGCAUGCUAAUAACCUUACAAUAAAAUACUAAGACUGCAUAUGAGGUACUUUAUCAAGUCAGUUGAUGCAAACAAGGAGGUGAAAUAUUUUCCCAAAUGCUGCAUAGUAUCUUGCUACGAUUGGAUUGUGGUAAUAAUGUAUUUGCAAUUACCUGUCUAAUGCAAAUAAGUAAAUGCAGAACCAGCAGAUUCAGAA